UUUCUGAAAUCAAUGCCCAAAGGAAACAGCAGUCCAGACUCUGAUUCCAGCUCCGAAGAUGCCCUCAGAUUCAGAUCCAUCAGCAACCCCUGACAACAUGGAGGACUCGUCCCCUGAGCGUUUCCUGUCCUCUCUCGAUGGAGUUCUUCUCUUUAGUCAUUAACUCUUGAAAACAGCAGCACAAAAUGCCAGACUGUUUGACAAGUGUGUGAUUGAAUAAAUUGAAAUGGAAUC